AACGGGUGCGUAACGCGUGGGAACCUGCCCUUAGGUUCGGAAUAACAGUUAGAAAUGACUGCUAAUGCCGGAUAAUGUCUUCGGACCAAAGAUUUAUCGCCUUUGGAUGGGCCCGCGUAGGAUUAGGUAGUUGGUGAGGUAAAGGCUCACCAAGCCGACGAUCCUUAGCUGGUCUGAGAGGAUGAUCAGCCACACUGGGACUGAGACACGGCCCAGACUCCUACGGGAGGCAGCAGUAGGGAAUAUUGGACAAUGGGCGAAAGCCUGAUCCAGCAAUGCCGCGUGAGUGAUGAAGGCCUUAGGGUUGUAAAGCUCUUUUACCAGGGAUGAUAAUGACAGUACCUGGAGAAUAAGCUCCGGCUAACUCCGUGCCAGCAGCCGCGGUAAUACGGAGGGAGCUAGCGUUGUUCGGAAUUACUGGGCGUAAAGCGCGCGUAGGCGGCUUUUCAAGUCAGGGGUGAAAUCCCGGGGCUCAACCCCGGAACUGCCCUUGAAACUGGAUGGCUAGAAUACUGGAGAGGUGAGUGGAAUUCCGAGUGUAGAGGUGAAAUUCGUAGAUAUUCGGAAGAACACCAGUGGCGAAGGCGACUCACUGGACAG
rnacentral:rRNA from 1 species